GUCCACGCCGUAAACGAUGUCAACUAGCCGUUGGGAGCCUUGAGCUCUUAGUGGCGCAGCUAACGCAUUAAGUUGACCGCCUGGGGAGUACGGCCGCAAGGUUAAACUCAAAUGAAUUGACGGGGGCCCGCACAAGCGGUGGAGCAUGUGGUUUAAUUCGAAGCAACGCGAAGAACCUUACCAUGCCUUGACAUCCAAUGAACUUUCCAGAGAUGGAUCGGUGCCUUCGGGAGCAUUGAGACAGGUGCUGCAUGGCUGUCGU
rnacentral:rRNA from 1 species